GAUGAACGCUAGCGGCAGGCCUAACACAUGCAAGUCGAGGGAGAAGCCUUUCGGGGCAGAAACCGGCGCACGGGUGCGUAACGCGUAUGCAACCUACCUUUCACAGGGGGAUAGCCCGAAGAAAUUUGGAUUAAUACCCCAUAAUAUUGUUGGAUGGCAUCAUCUGAUAAUUAAAACUGCGGUGGUGAAAGAUGGGCAUGCGUCCUAUUAGCUAGUUGGAGUGGUAACGGCACCCCAAGGCUACGAUAGGUAGGGGUCCUGAGAGGGAGAUCCCCCACACUGGUACUGAGACAGAGACCAGACUCCUACGGGAGGCAGCAGUGAGGAAUAUUGGGCAAUGGUCGGAAGACUGAACCAGCCAUGCCGCGUGCAGGAAGAAUGCCUUAUGGGUUGUAAACUGCUUUUAUAUGGGAAGAAUAAGGUGUACGUGUACAUUGAUGACGGUACCAUAUGAAUAAGCAACGGCUAACUCCGUG
rnacentral:rRNA from 1 species